UUGUGUAUUGUCAUAUUAAUUUGAUCAUUGUUCAUUCUUAAUUGUUACCUAAUCGAUAGAUGCAUGCAUAUAGGGAUAAGUUAGAGAUUUUCAACCUAAGAAUAUGGUCAACUCGCAAUGAUAGAAUACCUAAGAAAGAGGUUGAUAUGAAAAUUCCCAGAAGUGAGGUUAGCUAAACGUACGCGUCUAAUCUUUAGGUUGUAAUUAAAAUAAAAACCUAUUAGAUUGGUUAAAUACUUAAACGUCUACCUUUAAGUCAGGUUGCAAGUAAAUUGAUGAAAAACAAAAAAUCUACCUUUAAUAUAUAAAGUAAAUUACUAAAAAGUAAAUCUCAUAUUCAUUUAAAUCUAUAAAGCCUUUGAAUUUAAAAAAAUAUAUCUCUAUUAAUAAAGCGAAGAGGGUGUUACUGUUCAUCUUGGGGAAACUUUCGAACUUCCAAUUUUGCCCAUGGUUUGGUUGAGGUGGAAGAUAGCAAGGAAGGUUAGAAACGUAAAUGCAGAAAGCAUGGUGAGGUAGUAGAUCAUGGAGAGAGAAAGAGAGGAGACGGACAUGAGGCUUCUGCCGACACUGAGUAAAAAAGAACGAGAAGAGUAUAGGGGGAGAAAGGAAAGAGGAAGAAACAGGAGCCAAAGUUUCAUUAACCGAUAAUUAAGAGAUUGUCUGAUAACUUAAGGAGAGUAGUGAAUUCCACUAUCUCUGAGGAUUUCUUCGACAUAGAGAAAACGAGGAGGUGAAAAAAAAAAAACAAAUCGAGAAGAGAACGUACUGCAGAAGAGGGAAGAAAGGAAAGAUGAAUCGAGAGGAGACGAAGAUAUCAAGGCUAGGCAGUGGAAGAGGCGAGUUUUGCAGUAGAAUCUCAACCAAAACAGGAAGUUCAUAAUAGGAAGUUGCGAUACAAAGCUCCUAGAACUGCUGGAUUGUAGAAAUUGUUGAACAUCGAUGCUCUUUCAAAUAAAGUUCAUGUAUGACGUUAUUGAUUUAAAACAAAUUUGUAUUAGUACAAGCAUAUUGUGCUUCAUUAUAUAUAUAUAUAUAUAUAUGGAACAAC